rnacentral:precursor_RNA from 7 species
UUAAAAUGGGAGUGAGUAGUGUGGUAUGUUUUGGUUGCUGUAGAUUAAGUAGUUUAAUAUGAUGCUGCACUUAAUAGACCGCAACCUGCACUGGCCAUGCUCUGGGCUGCGCACAGGGCU